UACGUAGGGUGCAGGCGUUAAUCGGAAUUACUGGGCGUAAAGCGUGCGCAGGCGGUUUGCUAAGACAGGUGUGAAAUCCCCGGGCUUAACCUGGGAACUGCGCUUGUAACUGGCAAGCUAGAGUGUGGCAGAGGGGGGUGGAAUUCCAGGUGUAGCAGUGAAAUGCGUAGAGAUCUGGAGGAACACCGAUGGCGAAGGCGGCAUCCUGGACCAAUACUGACGCUGAGGAGCGAAAGCCAGGGGAGCAAACGGG
rnacentral:rRNA from 1 species